AUUGAACGCUGGCGGCAUGCCUUACACAUGCAAGUCGAACGGCAGCACGGGAGCAAUCCUGGUGGCGAGUGGCGAACGGGUGAGUAAAGUAUCGGAACGUGCCCAGUCGUGGGGGUAACGUAGCGAAAGUUACGCUAAUACCGCAUACGAUCUAUGGAUGAAAGCGGGGGAUCGCAAGACCCCGCGCGAUUGGAGCGGCCGAUAUCAGAUUAGGGAGUUGGUGGGGUAAAGGCUCACCAAGCCGACGAUCUGUAGCUGGUCUGAGAGGACGACCAGCCACACUGGGACUGAGACACGGCCCAGACUCCUACGGGAGGCAGCAGUGGGGAAUUUUGGACAAUGGGCGAAAGCCUGAUCCAGCCAUGCCGCGUGCAGGAUGAAGGCCUUCGGGUUGUAAACUGCUUUUGUACGGAACGAAAAGGUUUGGCCUAAUAAGCUGAGCUCAUGACGGUACCGUAAGAAUAAGCACCGGCUAACUACGUGCCAGCCGCCGCCGUAA
rnacentral:rRNA from 1 species